CUACGGAGGGGGCUAGCGUUGUUCGGAAUUACUGGGCGUAAAGCGCGCGUAGGCGGAUUGAUCAGUCAGGGGUGAAAUCCCGGAGCUUAACUCCGGAACUGCCUUUGAUACUGUCAAUCUUGAGUUCGAGAGAGGUGAGUGGAAUUCCUAGUGUAGAGGUGAAAUUCGUAGAUAUUAGGAAGAACACCAGUGGCGAAGGCGGCUCACUGGCUCGAUACUGACGCUGAGGUGCGAAAGCGUGGGGAGCAAACAGGAUUAGAUACCCUAGUAGUCC
rnacentral:rRNA from 1 species